AAUGAACGCUGGCGGCAUGCCUAACACAUGCAAGUCGAACGAAGCCUUCGGGCUUAGUGGCGCACGGGUGCGUAACGCGUGGGAAUCUGCCCUUGGGUUCGGAAUAACUCGCCGAAAGGCGUGCUAAUACCGGAUGAUGUCGAAAGACCAAAGAUUUAUCGCCCGAGGAUGAGCCCGCGUAGGAUUAGCUAGUUGGUGAGGUAAAAGCUCACCAAGGCGACGAUCCUUAGCUGGUCUGAGAGGAUGAUCAGCCACACUGGGACUGAGACACGGCCCAGACUCCUACGGGAGGCAGCAGUGGGGAAUAUUGGACAAUGGGCGAAAGCCUGAUCCAGCAAUGCCGCGUGAGUGAUGAAGGCCUUAGGGUUGUAAAGCUCUUUUACCCGGGAUGAU
rnacentral:rRNA from 1 species